ACGUUAGCGGCGGACGGGUGAGUAACACGUGGGUAACCUACCUAUAAGACUGGAAUAACUCCGGGAAACCGGGGCUAAUGCCGGAUAACAUUUAGAACCGCAUGGUUCUAAAGUGAAAGAUGGUUUUGCUAUCACUUAUAGAUGGACCCGCGCCGUAUUAGCUAGUUGGUAAGGUAAUGGCUUACCAAGGCAACGAUACGUAGCCGACCUGAGAGGGUGAUCGGCCACACUGGAACUGAGACACGGUCCAGACUCCUACGGGAGGCAGCAGUAGGGAAUCUUCCGCAAUGGGCGAAAGCCUGACGGAGCAACGCCGCGUGAGUGAUGAAGGGUUUCGGCUCGUAAAACUCUGUUAUUAGGGAAGAACAAACGUGUAAGUAACUGUGCACGUCUUGACGGUACCUAAUCAGAAAGCCACGGCUAACUACGUGCCAGCAGCCGCGGUAAUACGUAGGUGGCAAGCGUUAUCCGGAAUUAUUGGGCGUAAAGCGCGCGUAGGCGGUUUCUUAAGUCUGAUGUGAAAGCCCACGGCUCAACCGUGGAGGGUCAUUGGAAACUGGGAGACUUGAGUGCAGAAGAGGAAAGUGGAAUUCCAUGUGUAGCGGUGAAAUGCGCAGAGAUAUGGAGGAACACCAGUGGCGAAGGCGACUUUCUGGUCUGUAACUGACGCUGAUGUGCGAAAGCGUGGGGAUCAAACAGGAUUAGAUACCCUGGUAGUCCACGCCGUAACGAUGAGUGCUAAGUGUUAGGGGGGGUUUCCGCCCCUUAGUGCUGCAGCUAACGCAUUAAAGCACUCCC
rnacentral:rRNA from 1 species